UAGCAAGAACCUCCCCAAAAUUUAUUUCAUUUGGAGCAAAAUAUUGCCCUUUCUCACUCUCCUCCCAUUUUCAGCAGUGUUUUAUUUAGGACUUCAGACAAACAAAACUUCAGUUAGUCACUCAGCUCUGUUGAAUACCAGGAGACCUCUUCUACCAAGUGGCACAGCUUUCUGUCAGUCCUUUGGCUGGUUAUCUAAGCCAUGCCAAUCUUGUAUGAACACUCUCCCUUCCUGUUACUCUCUCACGUUGCCUGAAUAGGAAAUCAAACACAAUGGAAAUGGUGCACACAAAUGCCCAUUAAAAUCAGGAUCUCAUAGAUCUAGUGGAUACCCAUUUUGUUACAACUACAGACUAUGUGAGGAAACAGCAGACUCCUCAUUCAGGGCACAAAAGGAACCAUAGCUCUCAAGAUGGCAAUUUCCAAUCCAUACAGCUCCCAAUGCUGUUCAAUAUAUCCCCUCUCUGGGUUCAUGGUGCAGCUGCAGUCAAACUUAUCAUUACUAUUAAAUGAAGAUAUCAAUGAUUAAUAGUGCCUCAGAGAUUUCUCACAGAUGAUGGAAGAUGUUAAACAUCUCAGUAGCACAUCUGCAGUCUUUGAAGAAGCCUUUGCCUUGAGUUGCCCUGACUGUUGGAGUGGAAGGGAAGUUGGAAGACACAAAAUAACAGUGACAAAGGAAAACAGAGAGGAACAAGAGCCACGAGACAACUUCUGACAGCUCAGUGCACUGCACUGACACGAGACACUGAUGACUUCAUUACUGACUAACUUUCUUCUAAGUGGAACUGAUGUGCCUGCAGUUUCAGUGCAGGAAGGUAGUUUAAAUGCCAAAAUAAUUCAGCAGGCUCUGCCUACUUUAUUUUUCCUCAGCUAUCUAGUUGUGAAGGUGUAAAUAUUGUAACCCCAAAGGGGUUUUAGGGAUCAUUAGUGGCACAGAAGGCUGAAGACAUGAGUGACGCUUGGCUGAAAGCCUGUGACUGAUUGGUAGCCACAAAUAUGGUUUUGAACUAUGGAAGAGGAGUGAAAUCAUCAUCAUUAGGAAGGAAAUGGAAGAUGGAAGCAAGAUGACUUUUUUCACAGGGAAUUCAAUGAUUUUUACCUUUGCCUUCAGCUUGUGUUUCUGGAAGAAAAUUUUAAAAGAUAAGGGAGAGAAAAUAACCGUGAUAACAUUUAAAAACCACAAAGACUAGAAAGAUUAGCAAGGGCACAGGUAACACAGUGAAACAUCACUACCCUUUAGUGAAUUUGUUCUUAUGUUCCUAUUAGUGAAGCCAAAAAGAUGUUGUUUUUCUUUUUCAAAAGUAUUUAUAAAGUAUAACUUAUAAAGUAUAAAUGAGAGCAGGAGGGAGAAAGUAGCUAGUAGUUGACUUCUAGAAACAAUUUCCGGUCAAAACACAGUCACUUUAUGAACUGUUUAAAAAAAGUAACCUUCCACCAGAAUAGCAGUACAUAAAAUACCUGUCUAUGUGCUGAAAAAAUCCUCACUUUACGUUUCAUUCUACAGUGUAAUCUGCUUAAGUCCAACUUUAACCUUCAGAGCAUGACAAACAGCUGUCCGUUAAAAAAAAAUUAAAAGCACUCUAAAGUAAGCACAAAGAAGAAAUAAGUAACUUAUUUUAUUUGAUGAAAGAAGAAAAAGAGGGAGGUGGGAGAAAAUGAAGUUUCUCUGAGGCCUUGUAAAGGUUGUCUUUCUUACUGUGCUUUAUCUACAGCUUCAUUCACUCUGUUUUCAUGCAUUUCACUGGUGAAAAUUUGCAGGGGAAAAAAAAAAAAGUAACUCCUUUUUGACUUUUUUCCAAAAUAAUAGCUAUAAAAAAGAGAACUAUAGAAAUAAAUAGGUUAUUACAUCAAGAACAAGAGUCUUGCCUGAAGUGAAAGGAGAGUUGCACUAAAUGAAACACAAUUGACUACACUAGACACUGGACCAAGUACUGUGUGCUGUUGAGUUAAAAUAAUGUAUUUUCAUCAUAAAUCUGGAGCCUAACCUGACCUUUACAAUACAUUGGAAGGAUUUAACAGACUGAUCCUGAAUAAGGUGUUUGGGGAAGACAUCACUGAAAGCCAAGGUUUCUUUUAUUUUAUUCUCUUUUCUUGGCUUUUCCAUUCCAGCCCCUAACAAAAUUAAAGGGACACACAAUGCAGAUGAAGCCUACAGGUCACUUAUCAACCCCUCAAAAACAAGCUCCUGUGUCUUGCCCUGUUCUGCUUAGCUGACCUCAGUAAUGGGAGGGCAGUGAAACCAGCCACAGAUCAGGCAGCGAGAGGGUUAUGGGGAGCCAGGGAAGGGGAGGGAUGCUAUCUGCACCUAAGAUCUUAGUGUUUUUGAAAAGUAUGGAAUCUUUUGUUGUGCAAUUGGAAGCUGAGUUGAGGGUAUACUGGGAUGAAAAAAUUACUUAUUUUUUACCUUGGACAGUGUCCAGAACUUCAAAAUAAAGCACAGAAUAGUAAGCCAUUCUAGAAUUUACUAACGAAAUUUGUAAGUGUUCUGAAUUAGAGGAGGAUGAGGUGCUCUUUAUGUCUUUGUCUUGUAGUUUAAUUAAAUUUGCCCACUUUGGAAGUACUAAUUCAGGCAUGGCAUAAGUUAUUUACUCGUUCCAUUCACCAUAGCACAUGAAGAUAAUAACACAACGCCAGUGACUUAAGAGAAUGAGAAAGCAAUAAUGCCUUUCUGAUUUUUUUUCUUUCCCAAUUUAAAUCAUUAAACUCAUUGGGAAUCACCAGCACAAGCACAAGAGCUCCCUCCUUUUCAAAGGAGCAAAGAGACACCACAGACAAGUGGAUGCAUUUUGGGGCAUAUAAGUAGGGGAGGGAAAGCCAGCUUCACAGCGUGUAUGUCUUUCCCUCUCAUCGUGCCAAAUUACCUCUGAACUACCUGAAGGAGUCUGGAAAGCCAAGGGGGGAGAGUAUCUACUGCCACCUUCUCAGGUUAGAGGGGGUGAUAAUUAAGACAUCCUCCCUGGAUGAUUGCAGCAGACUCUCUUGUCUCCUUUGCCGUCUGUGUGACACUGGUGGCAUGACUGAUCCUCUGGGCCGUGUACACAAAGUUUUGAGUGUCAGCAAUGGGAAAACAUUCAGAACAACUAAAAAACGCUUUAGCACAUAUGAGAUUCAGACCAAUGAUGGCUAAAUUGAAUAUCAGUCUUAUCCGUCCAACUGACAUGUAUUUGGGUUGAUCAUCCCUGCUGCAAACCUCACCUAUAAAAAUGAGCCACAAAGAAAUGUCUGCAUAGCCCCCAUCUUUGCACAACCUGCUGCUUCACAAUAUUGGCAAGCCAAAGAUGCUCAUCAUCAGUGAGCUGGGUUGUCAAAACUGGCUAAAUGGCAGUCCUUGCUGAGUGUCCACGCCCUGGUGAAAGGAAGCCUUCUAGCAAUAAAUUGCAUCAUUGCCUUAGAUAACUGUUGGCACAGGCCUUCCUUGAAGCCAUGGUCAAACACUAACAUAAGGUCUCACUGUAACAAAAUAGCAGGGCUACAUGUUUCAUUGCCUUGAAGUCAGCUAACAACUCUGUAACCUCUCCAGCCAGCAAUAAAAAAAGGACUAAAUGUAUUUUGAACCUAACUGCAACUUUGCCUCAGAGAAGAAGCCAAGUUAAUGACAUGAAAAGCAGCAGGUAAUUAAUACUGAGUAAAGGGUAAAGGAAAAGGCUGUAUAACAAGGGAAAGGCCACACUAAGACAGCAAAAAGCUACCAUCUUCAGGAGUUGUCUUGGUCAAAAAACCCAGACAUAUAAAUAAUGAAUUAAUCCUGCAGGUGGGACUGUUGAUGCUCUGGUAUCAUAAAGUUUUGUCAUGUCUAGAACGGCCACUGUCAACACCUACAGUGAAGAGAUUGAUUUACAUCCAGUGAAUGCACUAGCAACCUAAUAAUAACAAUAUGUUUUCCAAAUAGGUCACUCUGGAAAACCUGGCUUUAUUAUAAUUAUACAUGUUGGACAUACUGGCAUCUUGAAUUAUGGGAUCAUAGGCUAUACUCUCAUCAAUUACAUUAUGUUGCUGAUUUUAUACAUAUAUUGUGGUUGUAAUUUAUGUGUCAAUUUAUAUUUAUUCCCCCACCUGACAUUGUUCUUCAGUUUAAGAAUGAUUUGUUUUUUUUGUUCCAGUGUUAUUUUGACCUUAAUAAGGAUUGUCUUACUGCAAAGUGAAUUAUUAGUAUGUGGACCUCUUGGGCAAAGGUUGGUGCUCAGAGGAAUACAAACCACUUUUUUCAGGUGUCCCCAUUGUUUGGGGUCUUUGUUCUCUUAGUUCACCAUGGAAGCCAAACUGUACAGAUCAGAUCCCAUGGCCAAAGCUGUGUCAGGAAAGACGCCUUUGAGGAGGUUUAAACUUUGAGGUACUGCUUUCCUGAGAGGCACUGGGUACAGCCCUUUUGGGGUUUGUCCCCUAGACCAAUGUGGUGCCUACCCCAGCCUUGUUCACACAAACCUCUCUGUCCACCUGCUGUUUUCUUUGUUUCCAAUGGGGAUCUCAGCAAGCAGCUUUGUAGCUCCUUACAGAAAUCCUUCACUCUCUGGUAUCCUGUGAUUUCAAGACCUCUUCUACUGCUGCUGGCACUGAAGGGAACUGAGAAAUCUGUCACUGAUGAUGAUUCUUCUAAUUAACUUAAUCCAUUUUAAAGUCUCCAUUUUUAGACAGGGAGCUUGUGUGCCUGACUGUUGAAGAUGACUUAAUUCAGACAAGAUCCAAACACCAUUUUGGAGUUGUUGAAUGCUACAAUCUGAAGUCAGUGGGAAAUUCCACAGGGUCAACUCACUUGAACAAGACCCGUGAAAAUUGUCUUUAACUGUCCCACAAGAGGCUGAAAAUGUAUAAAAACACAGCUGAGAAAAAGAUAGUAUGUACUGUGGAAAGUAAAUUCCACAGGUAGUCAAGUCUGUUAUUCAAGAAGAAUUUCUAAUUUCUCUCUGCUCUCAGCAAGCAAAUGCAUGUUCAGCCAUGUACAGAAACAAAAACUGCUGAUAUUCUGAAGGUUUAAAUGAAAAAUACAAAAAUGAUUGCUUAAAGUAUUUUAGUCUAUUUUGUAUUUAAAAUGGAUUUUUGUGUUUUUAUUUUAAUUAUAUUUACUGCAUAACUCACAAAGAUCAGUUUAUUCAUACAAAUUUUUCUUUUAAGGUAACGUAAAAAAGUCAAUAAAUAUCUAAAACUAUUACAAUAGGCUUUGCAAUGACAUAACACCAUUCAGUUAUGCUGUGAUCUUUUUAAUAUACCUCUUUCUUGUGUUACCGCCUUUUCAGGUUUCUCUGUACUUCAUCAUUUCCUUCUGGAUUAUUGUAGACUGCAAUUGUUCUAGAUGGUGUCUUGAUGUUGCCUAUGUCAUGUGUAAAACACCUUUUUCUGUGUGGCAAAGAAUAUGACAAAAUAAUUAAAAAUAUUAUUUACUAUUCUCUA